rnacentral:rRNA from 1 species
GUCUAUGGUCAUGCCACCCUGAACGUGCCCGAUCUCAGCUGAUCUCGGAAGCUAAGCAGGGUCAGGCCUGGUUAGUAUUUGGAUGGGAGACCUCCUAGGAAUACCGAGUGCUGUAGGCA